CACACAGUAAACGAUGAAUACUCGCUGUUUGCGAUAUACAGUAAGCGGCCAAGCGAAAGCAUUAAGUAUUCCACCUGGGGAGUACGCCGGCAACGGUGAAACUCAAAGGAAUUGACGGGGGCCCGCACAAGCGGAGGAACAUGUGGUUUAAUUCGAUGAUACGCGAGGAACCUUACCCGGGCUUGAAUUGCAGAGGAAUAUAGUGGAAAGAUUAUCGCCGCAAGGUCUCUGUGAAGGUGC
rnacentral:rRNA from 1 species